AACGCCAUCUUUCAUGGUAUUCAGAGCCUAUCUCCUCUAGCACAUCUCGCAGCCGUGGCCUUCUCAAGUUCCGCCGUCGCCGCACCAGCUCUCAUCCCGAUCACUGACCGACUCCAUCGCUCCAACUUCCUGGUGUGGUGCGCACAGGGUAUGGCAGCCAUCCGGGGUGCUCAGCUCAUCUCCUAUCUCGAUCCAGAGAGGGAGCAGCCGGCCCGGAAGCUCUCCGACAAGGAUGGCAAGCCCACCGACGUGCCCAACCCGGCGUACGACAUCGACAGGGCCCGAGAUUCCCAGACUCAGGCGCACAUCGUCAAUACGAGGAUUGCCCUCUCCAUGACGAAGAAGGAAAACCCGACGGUGGCCGAGUACAUCGAGCACAUGAAAUCGCUCGGAGAUGAGAUGGCAUCUGCCGGGAAGCCCCUCACCGACGAGGACAUGGUGUCCUACAUCCUUGCGGGACUCGACUUCGACUACAUGUCCUUCGUCUCUACCAUCUGCGCCCAAACUGAGUCCAUCAAGGUGAGCGAGCUUUAUUCGCAGCUCAUCAACUAUGAAAGUAGGCUGGCCAUGUUUGAGGGUGGCGGCCAGUCCUCUCACUCCUCUGCCAACGCUGUCUCCCAUGGAGGGCGUGGCGGACCCAACCAUGGCGGAGGCCGUGGUGGCAACGGUGGUCGCUAUGGAGCCGACCGAGGCAACGGGGGCGAUGGCCGUGGCCAAGGUCGUGGCAGUGUCCGCGAGAACGGAGGAACAAACAGCUGA
rnacentral:rRNA from 1 species